rnacentral:lncRNA from 1 species
CAACUCUCCCCAACUAGAUUCUUGCUUGUCCUCAAGCAAAGUAUGCCUCUUGAAGGACAAGAGGAUUUGCUUUAAGAAAAAGGUUUCUCCGAAGUCAGAUAAAAUGGCUCAAACACAAGAAAAUCAACCAGGCACAAGUUCCCAAUGGUUAGAAUAACAUAAUACAUAAGAACUAAAACUUUAUAGCAAUGUAAAACAUGUAACAAU